UACGUAGGGUGCGAGCGUUAAUCGGAAUUACUGGGCGUAAAGCGUGCGCAGGCGGUUUUGUAAGUCAGAUGUGAAAUCCCCGGGUUCAACCUGGGAACUGCGUUUGAAACUACAAGGCUAGAGUGUAGCAGAGGGGGGUGGAAUUCCACGUGUAGCAGUGAAAUGCGUAGAGAUGUGGAGGAACACCGAUGGCGAAGGCAGCCCCCUGGGUUAACACUGACGCUCAGGCACGAAAGCGUGGGGAGCAAACAGG
rnacentral:rRNA from 1 species